AAAGCGGGCCGGGUGAUCGCCGGCGGUUCGCCGCUGGAGGAAAGUCCGAACACCAAAGGACAGCAGGCUGGCUAACGGCCAGGCGGGGCAACCCGACGGAAUAGUGCAACAGAGAACAGACAGCCCGAUGCGCUUCGGCGCAGGGCGAUGGUGAAACGGUGAGGUAAAAGCAUCACCAGCGAGUGUGGCGACAUGCUCGGCUAGGCAAACCCCCUGCGGUGCAAGGCCAAAUAGGGAAACGGUACGAAGGCUGUCCGCCUCAUUCCGCCUAAUCAGCGGAGCGUUUUCGGGUAGGUCGCAAGAGCGUCACAGUAAUGUUACGCCCAGAUGAAUGAUCGCCGCUUUCGAGCGAGCAAUCGCGCGGAAGCACAGAAUUCGGCUUACAGGCCGGCUUUGUAA
rnacentral:RNase_P_RNA from 1 species